GAUGAACGCUGGCGGCGUGCCUAAUACAUGCAAGUCGAGCGAACAGACGAGGCGCUUGCUGCUCUGUCGUUAGCGGAGGGCGGGUGAGAAACACGUGGAUAACCUACCUAUAUGACUGGGAUAACUUCGGGACACCGGAGAUAAUACCGGAUGAUAUAUUGAAGCGCGUGGGUGAAUAGUGAAAGACGGUUGUGCUGUCACUUAUCGAUGGUUCCGCGCCGCAUUAGCUGGUUGUUGAGGUAAUGGCUUACCAAGGCGACGAUGCGUAGCCGAGCGGAGGGAGGGAUCGGCCACACGAGAGGUGGAACGGGGCCCAUGCGCCUACGGUACGGAGCAGUAGGGAACCUUCCGCAAUGGGCGAAAGCCUUACGCAGCAACGGCGCGUGAGUUGUGACGGUCUCCGGAUCGUAAAACUCUGUUUUUAGGUAAGAACAAAUGUGGAAGUAACUAUGCACGUCUUGACGGUACCUGAUCAAAAAGCCACGGCUAACUACGUG
rnacentral:rRNA from 1 species